GAGUAACGCGUAAGAAUUUGCCUUUCAGUAAAGGAUACCUCCGAGAAAUCGGGGCUAAUACUGUAUAAGCUCAGCUUGCUGAGGAAAGAUGGCCUCUUGCUAUCGCUGAAAGAUAAGCUUGCGUCCUAUUAGCUUGUUGGUGGGGUAACUGCCUACCAAGGCUCAGAUGGGUAGCCGGCCUGAGAGGGUGUACGGCCACAUUGGGACUGAGAUACGGCCCAGACUCCUACGGGAGGCAGCAGUGGGGAAUAUUGCGCAAUGGGGGAAACCCUGACGCAGCGACGCCGCGUGGAGGAUGAAGGUUUUAGGAUCGUAAACUCCUGUUAAGUGGGAAGAAAGAUUGAUGCUUAAUACGUAUCAAGGAUGACGGUACCACUAAAGAAAGCACCGGCUAACUUCGUGCCAGCAGCCGCGGUAAUACGAAGGGUGCAAGCGUUAUUCGGAGUUACUGGGCGUAAAGAGCGUGCAGGCGGCUUGUUAAGUUAGUUGUCAAAGACCCUGGCUCAACCAGGGACCGGCAGUUAAAACUGGCAGGCUAGAGUUCAAGAGAGAGAAGUGGAAUUCUCGGAGUAGCGGUAAAAUGCGUAGAUCUCGAGAGGAACACCGGUUGCGAAGGCGGCUUCUUGGCUUGAUACUGACGCUGAGGCGCGAAAGCGUGGGGAGCAAACAGGAUUAGAUACCCUGGUAGUCCCACGCCGUAAACGAUGAUCACUGGAUGUUGGUUUUGCUUAGCAAAAUCAGUGUCGAAGCUAACGCGUUAAGUGAUCCGCCUGGGGAUUACGGUCGCAAGGCUAAAACUCAAAGAAAUUGACGGGGGUCCGCACAAGCGGUGGAACAUGUGGUUUAAUUCGACACUACGCGAGAAACCUUACCUAGACUUGACAUGUAAUCGCUAACAGCAGAGAUGUUGGGUUCCGUGGAAACAUGGACGGUUACACAGGUGCUGCAUGGCUGUCGUCAGCUCGUGUCGUGAGAUGUUGGGUUAAGUCCUUUAACGAGCGCAACCCUUGCCGCCAGUUGCUAUCCUUCGGGAGCACUCUGGUGGGACUGCCUUGGAAACGAGGAGGAAGGUGGGGAUGACGUCAAGUCCUCAUGGCCCUUAUGUCUAGGGCUACACACGUGUUACAAUGGCAAGUACAGCGGGGAGCUAAGCCGUAAGGUGGAGCUAAUCCUUUAAAGCUUGUCUAAGUUCGGAUUGAGGUCUGCAAUUCGACCUCAUGAAGUUGAAAUCGCUAGUAAUCGCGUAUCAGAACGACGCGGUGAAUACGUUCUCGGACCUUGUACACACC
rnacentral:rRNA from 1 species